rnacentral:rRNA from 1 species
GUCGUUUGCGACGCCCAACACACAAAACAAGCGGUGAGUGCUUUGGGGUGGGGUGACUGCGUACCUUUUGUAUAAUGGGUCAGCGACUUAUAUUCUGUAGCAAGGUUAACCGUAUAGGGGAGCCGAAGGGAAACCGAGUCUUAACUGGGCGUUAAGUUGCAGGGUAUAGACCCGAAACCCGGUGAUCUAGCCAUGGGCAGGUUGAAGGUUGGGUAACACUAACUGGAGGACCGAACCGACUAAUGUUGAAAAAUUAGCGGAUGACUUGUGGCUGGGGGUGAAAGGCCAAUCAAACCGGGAGAUAGCUGGUUCUCCCCGAAAGCUAUUUAGGUAGCGCCUCGUGAACUCAUCUUCGGGGGUAGAGCACUGUUUCGGCUAGGGGGUCAUCCCGACUUACCAACCCGAUGCAAACUGCGAAUACCGAAGAAUGUUAUCACGGGAGACACACGGCGGGUGCUAACGUCCGUCGUGAAGAGGGAAACAACCCAGACCGCCAGCUAAGGUCCCAAAGUCACAGUUAAGUGGGAAACGAUGUGGGAAGGCUCAGACAGCCAGGAUGUUGGCUUAGAAGCAGCCAUCAUUUAAAGAAAGCGUAAUAGCUCACUGGUCGAGUCGGCCUGCGCGGAAGAUGUAACGGGGCUAAACUGUGCACCGAAGCUGCGGCAGCGACGCUUAUGCGUUGUUGGGUAGGGGAGCGUUCUGUAAGCCUGCGAAGGUGUCCUGUGAGGGAUGCUGGAGGUAUCAGAAGUGCGAAUGCUGACAUAAGUAACGAUAA